rnacentral:tRNA from 1 species
GCCUGGGUGGCUCAGUCAGUUGAGCUUCUGACUUCGGCUCGGGUCAUGGUCUCAUAGUUCAUAGGUUCAAGCCCUACAUCAGGCU